rnacentral:sRNA from 1 species
GCCAGGCAUGGUGGCACAUGCCUGUAAUCCCAGCUGCUUGGGAGGCUGAGUCAGGAGGAUCAUGAGUUCAAAGCCAGCUUCAGCAAAAGCAAGGUGCUGAGUAAGUCAGUGAGACCCUGUCUCUA